rnacentral:rRNA from 1 species
AGUGAACGCUGGCGGUAGGCCUAACACAUGCAAGUCGAACGGCAGCACAGGAGAGCUUGCUCUCUGGGUGGCGAGUGGCGGACGGGUGAGGAAUACAUCGGAAUCUACUCUGUCGUGGGGGAUAACGUAGGCAAACUUACGCUAAUACCGCAUACGACCUACGGGUGAAAGCAGGGGACCUUCGGGCCUUGCGCGAUUGAAUGAGCCGAUGUCGGAUUAGCUAGUUGGCGGGGUAAAGGCCCACCAAGGCGACGAUCCGUAGCUGGUCUGAGAGGAUGAUCAGCCACACUGAAACUGAGACACGGUCCAGACUCCUACGGGAGGCAGCAGUGGGGAAUAUUGGACAAUGGGCGCAAGCCUGAUCCAGCCAUACCGCGUGGGUGAAGAAGGCCUUCGGGUUGUAAAGCCCUUUUGUUGGGAAAGAAAUCCAGCUGGCUAAUACCCGGUUGGGAUGACGGUACCCAAAGAAUAAGCACCGGCUAACUUCGUGCCAGCCGCCGCCGUAA